rnacentral:rRNA from 1 species
UACAGAGGUCCCAAGCGUUGUUCGGAUUCAUUGGGCGUAAAGGGCGCGUAGGCGGCGUGGUAAGUCACUUGUGAAAUCUCCGAGCUUAACUCGGAAAGGUCAACUGAUACUGUGCGACUAGAGUGCGGAAGGGGGCAACUGGAAUUCUUGGUGUAGCGGUGAAAUGCGUAGAUAUCAAGAGGAACACCUGCGGCGAAGGCGGGUUGCUGGGCCGACACUGACGCUGAGGCGCGAAAGCUAGGGGAGCGAACGGG